rnacentral:misc_RNA from 1 species
UUUGUUGGACGAUACAUUUUGCAACUCAUUUUACAUUUGCCGUUGCAAAUGGCGCUGCAUAUCCAAGAUCUUGUUGCUGCUCUUGCUAGGCGAAUGCAAACAGCUCAAAUAGCAGGAUUGAGAAGCUCCUUGUUACUUAUUUUUGCUAGAUUGGUCCAUAUGAGUGCCCCUAAUGUUGAACAGUUCAUAGAUAUGCUGAUCAGUAUCCCUGCCGCAGGCUAUGAAAAUUCCUUUGUUUAUGUAAUGUCAGAAUGGACUAAACAACAAGGGGAGAUACAAGGGGCUUAUCAAAUUAAGGUUUCAACCACUGCUUUGGCCUUGCUGCUAUCCACGAGACAUACUGAACUAGGGAAAGUUAAUGUACAGGGUCAUUUGCUGAAGUCUGAUGCAGGGAUAACUACUCGCUCG